rnacentral:tRNA from 1 species
UGCCUAGGUGGUUCAAUUAGACCGCCACAUUGAAGCUGUGGAGAUGGGCAACGGCCCCCUAGGCAG